rnacentral:snRNA from 10 species
AUACUUACCUGGACGAGGUCAAUGGCUGAUCAAGAAGAGUCAUGGCCUAGACUAGUGACUUUCAUUGCACUAUCGGAGGGUUGCUAGUCUAAGGUCUCCUUGAAUAGGAGAGCCUACGUCAUAAUUUGUGGAAGAGGGGGUUUGCGUUCGCGCAGCCCCUAC